rnacentral:rRNA from 1 species
UGGGGAAUAUUGGACAAUGGGCGCAAGCCUGAUCCAGCCAUGCCGCGUGAGUGAUGAAGGCCCUAGGGCCGUAAAGCUCUUUCACCGGUGAAGAUAAUGACGGUAACCGGAGAAGAAGCCCCGGCUAACUUCGUGCCAGCAGCCGCGGUAAUACGAAGGGGGCUAGCGUUGUUCGGAUUUACUGGGCGUAAAGCGCACGUAGGCGGACUUUUAAGUCAGGGGUGAAAUCCCGGGGCUCAACCCCGGAACUGCCUUUGAUACUGGAAGUCUUGAGUAUGGUAGAGGUGAGUGGAAUUCCGAGUGUAGAGGUGAAAUUCAUAGAUAUUCAGAAGAACACCAGUGGCGAAAGCGGCUCACUGGAACAUUACAGACGCUGAGGUGCGAAAGCGUGGGGAGCAAACAGG